rnacentral:rRNA from 1 species
CUACGGGACGCUGCAGUGGGGAAUUUUGCGCAAUGGGGGAAACCCUGACGCAGCAAUACCGCGUGAGUGAAGAAGGCCUUUGGGUCGUAAAGCUCUUUUCUUGGGGAAGAUAGUGACGGUACCCAAGGAAUAAGCACCGGCUAACUCCGUGCCAGCAGCCGCGGUAAUACGGAGGGUGCAAGCGUUGUUCGGAUUUACUGGGCGUAAAGGGCACGUAGGCGGCACAGCAAGUUAAGGGUGAAAUCCCGGGGCUCAACUCCGGAACUGCUCUUAAAACUGCUGAGCGAGAGAUAGUCAGAGGCGGGUGGAAUUCCAGGUGUAGAGGUGAAAUUCGUAGAUAUCUGGAGGAACACCGGUGGCGAAGGCGGCCCGCUGGGGCUAUUCUGACGCUAAGGUGCGAAAGCGUGGGGAGCAAACGGGAUUAGAUACCCUGGUAGUC